rnacentral:rRNA from 1 species
ACGGAGGGUGCAAGCGUUGUUCGGAAUUACUGGGCGUAAAGGGCGCGUAGGUGGUUGUGUAAGUCAGAUGUGAAAUCCUUAGGCUUAACCUGAGAACUGCAUCUGAUACUGCAUGACUCGAGUACAGCAGAGGGAAACGGAAUUCCUGGUGGAGAGGUGAAAUGCCUAGAUAUCAGGAGGAACAGCGGUGGCGAAGGCGGUUUCCUGGGCUGAUUCUGACACUGAGGCGCGAAGAGGUGGAGAGCAAACAG